AUUUAUGUUAUCUGUCCACCCCGGUACAGGUUCUUUCCACACAGUCGAUGAAUUUUAUCUACCUCAGUAUAAUUGCUGGAAUCUGUGGCAUCGCUUCUUCGACGAGACCUUCGGAUAAGGCUUUAGUGAAAGCAUUGUAGGCGCAACGUUUUGAUGUAAAUCAGUUCCGAAGCUCUGUCGUCCGAUAAGGGUUACAGUGAUGUCUUGGAAAUUGGCCGGUUGCUGUAACCACUAAUUCUUGGAACUGGCUUUUCGUUUGUCCCAGUAGCCAAGUAUGUAUAUGUAUUUUAAUCUAUUAUGAGAUAUCGAUGCAUUCUUUGAAAGAAAGAGAUACACAGGAUUUCUUGAAGAAUCUACCCCCUUCAACUUUGGCCAGUUUCGGUCCCAAAUAUCGCCCAAUAUCCAAAGCACUACCGUAAU